GACGAACGCUGGCGGCGUGCUUAACACAUGCAAGUCGAACGGAAAGGCCCUGCUUUUGUGGGGUGCUCGAGUGGCGAACGGGUGAGUAACACGUGAGUAACCUGCCCUUGACUUUGGGAUAACGUCAGGAAACUGGGGCUAAUACCGGAUAGGAGCUCCUGCUGCAUGGGGGGGGUUGGAAAGUUUCGGCGGUUGGGGAUGGACUCGCGGCUUAUCAGCUUGUUGGUGGGGUAGUGGCUUACCAAGGCUUUGACGGGUAGCCGGCCUGAGAGGGUGACCGGCCACAUUGGGACUGAGAUACGGCCCAGCCUACUACGGGAGGCAGAAGUGGGGAAUAUUGCACAAUGGGCGGAAGCCUGAUGCAGCAACGCCGCGUGCGGGAUGACGGCCUUCGUGUUGUAAACCGCUUUCGCCUGUGACGAAGCGUGAGUGACGGUAAUGGGUAAAGAAGCACCGGCUAACUACGUG
rnacentral:rRNA from 1 species